rnacentral:lncRNA from 1 species
AUGUGUGCCUAUGACAAGAGGCACACAUAUUACUAUUCCUCGGAUUUAUUAUUAUUAUUAUUAUGUGUGCCUAUGCCAAGAGGCACACAUAUUACUAUUCGUCGGAUUUAUUAUUAUGUGUGCCUAUGCCAAGAGGCACACAUAUUACUAUUCCUCGGAUUUAUUGUGUGGAUGCCCUCAAAGGGCUUCCACACUAUUGAGUUCCUGUUUCUCUUUAUUCUUUAUCUUUAUUGUGUGGAUGCCCUAAAGGGCUUCCACACUAUUGAGUUCCUGUUUCUCUUUAUUGUGUGGAUGCCCUAAAGGGCUUCCACACAAUUGUUUUCCUGUUUCUCUUUAUUCUUUAUUAUUCUUGGGGUUUCCGUACACUUUUUGCCGCUUAACUACUGCCUCAGUUUUCAGCCGAUUUUCUCAGUUCAAACUUUAAAAAAUUCUGCUCUUUCUGCUAAUGUGUGCUAUGACUUUUGGUGCUCAUAACUUCUAUACUUUUUGAGAUAUUGAAUUUUUUUUGCAAUAUUUUUUGCCCAUUUUUGCACAUUAUCAGUGGGGUCACUAGUUUUCCUUGCCCGGUUGAGCCGUGUUUUAGCUCAGUGAGAUGAGCAGCCGUUCUCAGACUGGGAGGCCCGGGUUCAAAUCCCGCUUAUGGCAACAUUUCUUUCAGUUAACAGUUAAACCUUUUUAACUCUUUUCAACACAAAUUUCAGCUUUUCCACCCCUUUUCAGCAAAAUUUUCAGGUUUUUCACCACUUUUCAGCACAAAUCCCAGCUUUUUCAGCUGUUUUCAGCAAAAAAAACUCUUUUCAGCAGAAUUCUGAAAAGAGUUCUGCAGAACUCUUUUCAGCAGAAAUUCUGCUGAUUGAACUCUUUUCAGCAGAAAUUUCAGAAUUUUAACCUCUUUUCAGCCCAAAUUCUGCUUAUUCACCUCUUCUGCAAAAUUUUCAGCCUUUUCACCUCUUAUCAGCAUAAAUCUCAGCAGUUUUCAGAAAAAAACUCUUUUGAGUAGAAAUUCUGCUGAUUCAUCUCUUUUCAGCGCAACUUGUUGCUUCUUUACCUCUUUUCUGCAGAAAUUCUGCUGAUUCACCUCUUUUCUGCAAAAUUUUCAGCCUUUUCUCCUUUUAUCAGCACAAUUCUCAGCAGCUUCUGCUCAUUUCAGCAGAGUUGUCCGUCUCUCCACCUCUUCUUGGUCAGAGUGAGUUUAGCUCAGUGAGAUGAGCAGCUGCCUUCAGACCAGAAGGGCCAGGUUCAAAUCCCGGUCAUGGCAAAACCUGUUUUCAGUUUUCUCUUUUGUUCUUUUGUUCUACCUCUUUUCCGCAGAAAUUCUGCUGAUUUAUCUCUCUUCUGCAAAAUUUUCAGGCUUUUCACCUCUUCUCAGCACAAAAAAUGAGCAGCUUCUGCUCAUUUUAGCAGAAUUGUCGGUCUCUCCUCCUCUUUUUUGAGAGAAUGAGUUUAGCUCAGUGAGAUGAGUAACUACCUUGAGUCCAGGAGGGCAGGUUCGAAUCCUGCUCAGGGUAACAUUUUUUUUUCACCACCAUACAACUUUUUGCAACUUUUCAUCUUUUUCAGCUUUUCAGCAGACAGCUUCAGCGUUAAGGCAUCCACACAGCAUUUUCGCAGGAAAUGCAAAUUUUUCUAGUUCUUUAUUAUUCUUCAAGUUGCUUCCGUACGUUUUUUGCCGUCUAUCUACUGCCUCAGUUUUCAGCCGAUUUUCUCCGUUCAAACUCUAUACUGUUCUGCUCUUUCUGCUAAUGUUUGCUAUGACUUUUGGUGUUUAUUACUCUUAUACUUUUUAAAAUAUUACACUUUUUUCCUUUAAUUUGUCCCAUUGAAAUGAAUGGAAAACUUCCACAAUUCUGCUAAAACUUGCUUGUUUUUGAAACUUAACUACUUUGUCAUACUUUCACCUAGAAACUCCAUUCAAACUUUAAAAUGUUCUCAGACUAUUGGGCUAUUCCUGAAUGAUUCAGCUUUUUCAGAUCUUCUACCGUUUUAAUUUUAUACCUCUUUAAGUUUUCAGUUGCAACAUUGUGAUUUUUCAGAAAAUACAUGCGUUGCUAUGGUUGCUAUGCAAUUAACUCAGAGUGUGCACUCGUCCUUUCUGAAUUUUCUCUUCAUGUCUGAACAACUUCUUGCUACUCGCUGAAUUUCCACUCAACCCCCACAAAUUAUACAUCAAAACGUAGGUAUUUCUGUUGGCUUUCAGAAAAUGUCACUAUCAUUGUUGUGGGACUUAUAGAGUUUUUGCAAAUCUCCUCAGAGUAACAUAAAGUCUCAAAACUCUCCAUAGAAACUCAGUGGAGAGUUUCUUCAAAAUCAGCGCUGGAAUUCUCUAAUGAGAGGCAUUUUCAAAUCGU